CCCAAACGACCAUCCGUCAAACAAUUGACACACAGCACACAUUCAUUAAUCGACUCUGUUUGUGAAAGAAUUGGAAGGCAGAUAAUGGCUUAUGGCGAAAACGUACACAUAGAGAAAAUGGAGAAUCAGGAUUAUCAUCGGCAUUAUAAGCUGAAUAUACAGAACCUAUAACCAGUGCAUCAUCAGCUGCUACAUCGGGCUCCACCUAAAUUAUCAAAUCAAAUUUCUUUCUCAUAAUCCUCUCCAAUAAACGACAUACUUUCUCAAGGGUCAAUAAAUACUUGUAAAUAUCUAUUCUUACCAAAGAGGUCAUGUAAUCUUGGAAGUAGUUUGCAAAACCUUCAUUUAACCAAGUGUUGCUCCACCAGUGGCAUGUGACGAGGUUACCGAACCACAUAUGAGUUGUUUCAUGGGCCACAAUUUGUGCUACUCUGUAUUUAAAAUAUGGCGUGGAUUCUUCAGGAACAUACAACAAAAGAGAUUCCCUGAAAAUUUUUAAAUUUGAAGUACUACUUUAAAAUAAAAUUCUUUAAAUCUG